ACAACAACAACAACAACAACAACAACUUAUUUAUACCCCACCCAUCUGGCUGGAUUCACCCAGCCACUCUGGACGGCUUCCAACAAAAUAUUAAAAUACAUAAAUCCAUCACACAUUAAAAGCUUCCCUAAACAGAAGUGGUUGGGAACGGUUCCUUCACUAAAUUGCCUUCCUGACUCUGCUAAUUUAGUGGGGUGUGGUAUUGCUAUAUUGCUCUGUAGCUGUUGUGAGUAGUUCCAGCUCUCUGUUAUGCUGUGUGUUUGCAGUGAGAGCUGUUUGUAACUUUCACACAGCCUAUGUAUAUAUUCUGUAAAUACGCAUUAGCUUGAAGUAAUAAAAGAGGAUUAAAAACCUCUACCACUGUAUCCAUCGUUUAUUGGAGCAGAAGUUGGUGCUCACAAUAUAUCCACUUGUGGGUCCAUGGUAGCAGAGGCGGAUUUAAGCUGAAGGAGUUCCAGUCAUCCUGUUAGCCCAGUCGGGGCAGAAGAGGGACUUUAUCUACCAUCUUUGCAGAAACUACAACUCGGCACCUCUCAUGGCGUGGCAUCACAGAAAGGUUUAAGGGAACCUGUUGUUCUGCCAGAUCGCUCUGGAACCCGCCUCUGGGCAUGGACCUUAUAUAUGAUCCAGUGGCAACCGAUCACCAUUCAAGAGGGAGUCUGGAGUCUGUUCGCAUUUCCUCCACUUCCUUGGCUCACGUGAAAGUUCUCUUGACGGGUCAACAUGUCAGGCGGCCAGACUGAACUGGAGUGUGCCUUUUCUAACAUAAUCGACGUUUACAAUAGGUAUUCAGUAAAAAUUGAGAGAACGGGCAUGAGUGAGAUUGCAAUGUAAAGGACCAGCUUCCAGACAUGCCAAUGGAGAAUGUUCCAUAGGGUGGGUGCCACCACCGAAAAGGCCCUCUCUGUAAGGUCACUUCUCGCAUUGAGGGAACCACUACCGGUAGAAGGCCCUCAGACCUGGACCUGUCUGAAACCGGGAGGUGGAGAUGCUCUUCAAGUAUACAGGAUGCAGUUCCAACCUUCAGCUCCACGUACACUCCUGGGGCAUCAAUUGGGAACAGCUGUUGACCUUGAGCCCUCUGGAACCCGCCUCUGAGCAUGGAGCUUAUAUAUGAUCCAGUGGGAACUGAUCGCCAUUCAAGAGGGAGUCUGGAGUCUGUUCCCAUUUCCUCCACAUCCUUGACUCACCUGAAAGUUCUAUUGACGGGUCAACAUGUCAGGCAGCCAGACUGAACUGGAGCGUGCCUUUUAUACCAUAUUCGACAUUUUCAAUAGGUAUUCAGUAAAAAUUGAGAGAAUGGGCAUGAGUGAGAUUGCAAUGCUUCAACCUAAGGAACCCCGUGUGCUGAGUGAGAACGGACUGCGUCAACUGGUAAAGGACCAGCUUCCAGACAUGCCAAUGGCCACUUCUGUCAUUGAUGAGGUUUUAAAAGGAAAUGGUGAUGGCCAGGUCACCUUCGAUGAGUUCGUGGAAAUUUUAGGCAGAGUUCUUGUCGCGAGCCAUAACAACCCCACACCAUGAAACACCAACCUGGAGGUGAAGAAUUCAUCAACUCUGUCUCUAAAGCUCAUGUCCUCCUGAGACAAUAAAGAUUUGAUUCAAUAUCCAUCACAGUUUUGUGGAGUGUUUUUCAGAAGCACAGUAACAGAAUCUUAGCUGGAGGAUAAACUGCAGGUCAGGGACAUCUCCCUUGGGGAUAAGAGGAUGCCAGUAGGAUAAAUGAGAAGCACCAGGGCACCUAUUAGAAGUGGCAGAAAGACUUCAGGAAGAAAAUAGAAAUCUUGUUUAAAGACCAACACAACAUACUAUUUCUCUUUGUCGGAAGGAAGAAACUGGUUCUGGGUGAGGGUGGGGAGCUGGAAUUUUGGAUGAAGAGGAAUAGAGGGUCAGUUGAAAGGAAGACAGGGAAAUUGUAGAGCAGCUGGAUAAAUUAUUAGGAUCAGUCCAUUUUAAAUUGUCAUAAUUUCCCCCCAAAGAAUCCUGGGAACUGUAGUAUUGAUGAUGAGAGUUGUUUGGAGACCCAUACUUCCUGUCACAGAGCCAUAAUUUCCAGAGUCCCUUAGAAAAAAACAUUGAUUGUUUAAUGAUGAUGAUGAUGAUGAUAUAUUAAAUAUAUUACUUGUACUCCAUCCAUCUGCAUGGAUUGCCCAGCCAUUCUGGGCAGCUUCCAACAGAGUAGAAAAGAACACAACGAAACAUCAGACAUUAAAAGCUUCCUGAUACUGGGCUUCCUUAGACGUCUACGGAAAGUCAUAUAAUUCUUGAUCUAUUUGAUAACUGACAGUGACAAAUGGUCGCUAUUUUUUGUGUUGAAUAUAUUCUGUAUGAUAAUUUAUGGACCUAAUAGGUAUCUAAAGCCAUUUACACAUGCAGAAUGUAGGCACCCUAUAUAUAGAAAUGAGCAAACCAGUGAUAUUUUAGGGAGCAGGCUAGCAGGCGGGGCCCAUGACUUACACCAUAAGCGCCUACACAACACAAAACACUGUUGCUGUAUGUAGGUUUGAUUUUAUUUUUAUCUUAUAUUUUGAAAUGUACAUCCAGUUUUUCCCCUUUAAUUUUUUUGAGGGCCCCCAAGAGCUAUAGCUUGUUUAGCUUAUAUGUAGAUCUGGUACUGAUCACACUCCUUGGAGGUCAGAUCUCAUCGGUGGCCACCUCUGCAGAGACCUCUUGGCACUGCUAGUCUCCCCCUUCGGGAGGAAAUAGGGAGGACCUGCCCUCUGGGGUCUCCCAGGGUCUGCAUUCGGCCAGCACAAUUCAGAGCGGCUCCUUUUCCUUCCACAACAGCUUCUGAUUCCCACUUUAACUGUUGGUUAAGGU